rnacentral:rRNA from 1 species
GGACAACCUACCCUCGGGUCCGGCAUAAUCCUGGGAAACUGGGGAUAAUUCCGGAUAGGUCACAGAAGCUGGAAUGCUCUGUGGCCCAAAGCUCCGGCGCCCGAGGAUGGGUCUGCGGCCUAUCAGGGUUGUAGUGGGUGUAAUGUGCCUACUAGCCUACGACGGGUACGGGUUGUGAGAGCAAGAGCCCGGAGAUGGAUUCUGAGACACGAAUCCAGGCCCUACGGGGUGCAGCAGGCGCGAAAACUUUACAAUGCGGGAAACCGUGAUAAGGGAAUCUCGAGUGCCAGCAUAUAAUGUCGGCUGUCCAGAUGCCUAAAAAGCAUCUGUUAGCAAGGGCCGGGCAAGACCGGUGCCAGCCGCCGCGGUAACACCGGCGGCCCGAGUGGUAACCGCUAUUAUUGGGUCUAAAGGGUCUGUAGCCGGCCAGGUAAGUCCCUUGGGAAAUCUGGCAGCUCAACUGUCAGGCUGCUAGGGGAUACUGUUUGGCUUGGGACCGGGAGAGGUGAGAGGUACCUUGGGGGUAGGGGUGAAAUCUUGUGAUCCUCGGGGGACCACCAGUGGCGAAGGCGUCUCACCAGAACGGGUCCGACGGUAAGGGACGAAAGCUAGGGGCACGAACCGGAUUAGAUACCCGGGUAGUCCUAGCCGUAAACGAUGCUCGCUAGGUGUCAGUCACGGUGCGACCGUGAUUGGUGCCGUAGGGAAGCCGUGAAGCGAGCCACCUGGGAAGUAUGGCCGCAAGGCUGAAACUUAA